rnacentral:rRNA from 1 species
GGAGGAGGUCUCAAUACCCUGAAAACAGCACAUCCCAUCUGAUUUUGGAAGCUAAACAUAAUCAGUCCUGGUUAGUACUUGGAUGAGAGACCUCCAAGGCAUACUAGGUUCUGCAGUCU